AAUGAACGCUGGCGGCGUGCUUAACACAUGCAAGUCGCACGAGAAAGUUUCUGCUUGCAGGGACGAGUAAAGUGGCGCACGGGUGAGUAACGCGGUGGGUAAUCUGCCCCUGAAUCCGGGAUAACAUUUCGAAAGGAGUUGCUAAUACCGGGUAAAAUUGUGAGGACUCCGGUUCUUGCGGUCAAAGACGGCCUCUCCAUGGAAGCUGUUGUUUUGGGAUGAGCCCGCGUACCAUUAGCUUGCUGGCAGGGUAAUGGCCUACCAGGGCGACGAUGGUUAGCUGGUCUGAGAGGAUGAUCAGCCACACCGGAACUGACACACGGUCCGGACUCCUACGGGAGGCAGCAGUGAGGAAUUUUGCGCAAUGGGGCGAAAGCCUGACGCAGCAACGCCGCGUGAGUGAUGAAGG
rnacentral:rRNA from 1 species